UUAAAACUUUUUCCGUAUCGUAUAAAAUAUCUGAUUUCUUUUCAUACUUUCCCAUUCGCGACAUCGAAUCGUGCUGUAGACUUGAGUAAAAGAAUUCAAAGGAAACUAUGCGAAUUGCAAAAUUUACAAAAAGUACUGAUGCAGCAAUAAAACAAUGGGUCCCCCUUUUCUCUACUAUAUCAGUGCCCCAGACAAUAAGAGGAACGGACGUGUCGUCAAAAAAUUUUCGUACGUACUUUGGUGCCUAUUGUAUUCUUUAUGGACAUUAAUAUGUAUAUGCAUAUAUACAACAUCAGGCUCUCAUUCGUACAUACAUUAUGUACAUACCAGAGACUAUAUAUUGUUCAAGAAGCUUUUCGAGUGAGCUUUUUUAAUAAAUGAGAGGAUACACAUUUCUAUUAUGUCUUAGGGGACUGUUACAAAGUUCGACAGGAUAUGCAGAAUCGAACAACCGGCUAUAUUUUCUGUGUCAAAGCACAAUGUAUGACAUAAAGCCGAUACACAGUAAAUGGCAGUCUUGUGAAAAAUAUAUUUCAAGAUAUUGAUAUCGAAGAAUUGAUCACACCCUUGAAUGUAAAGGAUAUUGAUUUUCUUUAUUUGUUUUACAGUGAGAUGACAAUCUGCGUAGGACGGCAGCGAGUGGUAAUACGAGAGACGUCAAAAUUCACUCCCGUCAAUCGAAUAGACGUUUAUCGUUUAUCCCUACGAAGAUACGUGAAUAAGGAUUUACAAAAGAUAUGCCUGUUUUCCUAUAGAGGUUAUGUACAGCUCUUUGUAAAGAUGACAGAAAAAAAAAGAAGAGAAAAGUAAUCAUAGCUGGGGUGACUUUCCUCGUGUGAAAACGGUUAUAAGGUGCUAGUAUUUUCAUACGUCAGGAUAAAACUGUCUUCGUACAGCCAGGUGCAUUUUUUCUUGUGUAAUUUUAUAAAAAUAUUAUCACGCUCAAGAAUUUAUUGCAAAAUUACAUAUAAUUCCCUAUAUUAAUUUUCUAUGCCAAUUCACAUGUCCCGCUCAAGUUUAUUUAGAUUUACGACGUAUCUUUACGAAGUUUAUGACUGUCCAAUGAAAAGUACGUGUAUAUUAGAAUCUGCAUUGACUGUGCUGCGCUCGGUGCAUUCAGCUGUCUACGUCUCGAAGAUAUUCCUAUUGUCAAAAGGGUAGACUACUGAAUUCAAAUCUGGCACUGUGUCAAUGACCAUUUAUAUACGUCUAGGAAUAAUUGUCUGAAUCGAAAGGAUACUUAUUGUGUAUUUUUGAAAAUGUUCAAUUUAUAACGUGAGCCAAUCGAUUUUUACAAUUAAUUUAUCCAACUCGGACAAUGCAUUAUCUUCCUAUUUAAAAUUCAUUAGUCGUCCACUAAGGAACGUCGAAUCUUGAAUUUACCCGAUAACAACCUGUGGAAUGUGGUCCUAGGUUCUCAGAGAGGGAUUCCAACUUUUUCAGUAAAAAAUAAUAAUUCCAAAAAACAUUCAGAAGCGAUAUUGGAAAAUUGUUUUUUAUUGCCAACAAAUUUUUGUUCAAAACUCUAUUUCUUCGUUUCGAUAUUAAAACCAAAGAAUUAUAUGAAUUAUACGUUACACGGGUGUUUUAUGAAGAUACGAGAUUUUCAUAAUUAAUAAAGAAAGUACUCGAUAGCAGAGAAUGUGAUAAAUCAAGUUUUCCAGUAUCAAAACACCAA